GAUGAUGAAAAUUAAGACUUGGACCUAGAACGGAAAGAAAUCGAUUUAUGGACGAGUAUGUCCUUUUCACAUUUGUGGUAUCGAGAGUUCCAGGUUAGCUCGGGUUGGAGGCCGUCAGAGAUAUUAUCACCCUAUCGAGUUAACGUUAUCGGAGUAAGUAAACUCAAGUGAUUCGAGUCUAUGGCAUGUAUAGGGUUUUAAUGUGAGUAUGUAAUAUUAUGAUUUAGCCAAAGGCAUUGGCUUGUUAUUAAGGUAGUAUUAGUCAUGUAAAUUGGCCUAUGUCGGCUAAUGACGUUAUGGGCCCAUAUGAUUAUUCUUAUGCAUUUAUGUUAUUAUUUCUUGUGAUGUGGCUUACAA